UACGAAGGUGGCAAGCGUUGUUCGGAUUUACUGGGCGUACGGGGAGCGUAGGCGGUUGGGUAAGCCCUUCGUGAAAUCUCCGGGCCUAACCCGGAAAGUGCGGAGGGGACUGCUCGGCUAGAGGAUGGGAGAGGAGCGCGGAAUUCCCGGUGUAGCGGUGAAAUGCGUAGAGAUCGGGAGGAAGGCCGGUGGCGAAGGCGGCGCUCUGGAACAUUUCUGACGCUGAGGCUCGAAAGCGUGGGGAGCAAACAGG
rnacentral:rRNA from 1 species